rnacentral:misc_RNA from 1 species
AUUGGCAGGACUUCGUUGGUAUUGUCGUCCUCCUUGUCAUCAACUCCACAAUCAGUUUCAUUGAAGAAAACAAUGCUGGCAAUGCUGCUGCAGCUCUCAUGGCUGGGCUUGCCCCCAAAACGAAGGUUCUUCGAGAUGGCCGAUGGAGUGAGCAGGAAGCUGCAGUCCUAGUGCCAGGAGACAUCAUCAGCAUCAAACUGGGGGAUAUCGUCCCUGCUGAUGCUCGCCUUCUCCAGGGAGACCCGUUGAAGAUCGAUCAGUCUGCCCUUACAGGGGAGUCUCUGCCUGUCACGAAGAACCCAGGUGAUGAAGUCUUUUCUGGCUCGACCUGCAAGCAGGGAGAGAUCGAGGCAGUCGUCAUCGCCACUGGAGUCCAUACCUUCUUUGGCAAGGCAGCCCACUUGGUCGAUAGCACGAACCAGGUCGGCCAUUUCCA